rnacentral:rRNA from 1 species
CCUACGGGUGGCUGCAGUGGGGAAUAUUGGACAAUGGGCGAAAGUCUGAUCCAGCCAUGCCGCGUGUGUGAAGAAGGCCUUCGGGUUGUAAAGCACUUUCAGUGGGGAAGAAAGCCUUGGGGCUAAUACCCUCGAGGAAGGACAUCACCCACAGAAGAAGCACCGGCUAACUCCGUGCCAGCAGCCGCGGUAAUACGGAGGGUGCGAGCGUUAAUCGGAAUUACUGGGCGUAAAGCGCGCGUAGGCGGUCUGAUAAGCCGGUUGUGAAAGCCCCGGGCUCAACCUGGGAACGGCAUCCGGAACUGUCAGGCUAGAGUGAAGGAGAGGAAGGUAGAAUUCCCGGUGUAGCGGUGAAAUGCGUAGAGAUCGGGAGGAAUACCAGUGGCGAAGGCGGCCUUCUGGACUGACACUGACGCUGAGGUGCGAAAGCGUGGGUAGCAAACAGGAUUAGAUACCCCAGUAGUC